CAUAGGUAUUAAUAACAGGAGAAGGAGGCUCUGAUGCUCAAACUUGUCCCUGAAACUCAGCAAGACUUCUCAACUUCAAAUCCCCAGACCAGCUUCAUGGAUUUUAUUUAUGUAUUCACUUAUUUAUAUGAUUUCUGGUGCUGAGACACGGAUGAAAAAUUAGAACAUAAAUUCAUCAGCAAGACCUAGAGGAGAGCAAGAUUAAAAUUUGAACCCCUGAACUUCCAGGCACCUCCUGCCACAGAAAUAACAAGAUCAUCACUGAACUCCACAAACAAAGGGAGCUCUCUCUCCUCCCCCAACAGCUGGCGAAAAGGCAGGCCUGAGAAUACACAGGCUCAAGACAUCACUCAGAACAUCCCAAACCGAAACAAAAGCAAUGCACCAAACAACCAAAAACAAACAGAGGUGGGAUCAGAUUCCAGCAAGCCCUGUGGGACAGCGAGCUCAGACCGAGGAAUGGGGCUGACAUGCUGGGGAUUCACUAAAGAAAAGCAGGAGGCGUAGGAGGGAGUUGAGGCUGGUAUCGGAAGAAUGAAACGACCGACCCCUGUGAACCAGAUACCUUACAGAUGUCCUCUCAUUUCAUACUCACAACAGCCUUAUAAAAAAGCCUUUUUCCUGGGGCACGACUUCAGACAGUGCUGUUCUUCGCCUCAGAGUACUUUCCCUGCCUACACUUCUGACGGAUUCUUCAUGAAUUAUUCCUAAUUUCAAUGUGCCCUCUGAACACUGCUGGGACCCUCACUGACUGGCAUAGCAACAUGGGGCAG